UGUCCCGCUGCUCCAGCCCCGCUCGGCCCAGCGCUCAGGGAAACGAAGCAGCUCAAUAAAAACUUUUGAUAUUAGUUUUUAUGGGUAUUUACACUCUGGUCAGGGGAGCCGAGUACGGAAGCUCCAUUAAUCAGCCCCCAGCCUCGGGUUUGGAUGUUCAGUUUAU
rfam:Pteropus alecto contig43683, whole genome shotgun sequence.